rnacentral:misc_RNA from 1 species
AAGUCGUAACAAGGUUUCCGUAGGUGAACCUGCGGAAGGAUCAUUCCAAAAGAGAAGUUUCUUCUCAAUCAUACUGUGAAUUUGUUAUGUCAACCCACUGGCUAUUGCCUUUGGGAAAGGGGCCGCCUAUGCGGUUCCGCCAAUGUAUUAAAAACAUCAAAAGCUUUAUAGAAACUUAUACAACUUUUAACAAUGGAUCUCUUGGUUCUU